CCUACGGGUGGCAGCAGUGAGGAAUAUUGGUCAAUGGUCGGGAGACUGAACCAGCCAAGCCGCGUGAGGGAUGAAGGUACAGAGUAUCGUAAACCUCUUUUGUCAGGGAACAAAGGCGGGGACGCGUCCCCGGAUGAGUGUACCUGAAGAAAAAGCAUCGGCUAACUCCGUGCCAGCAGCCGCGGUAAUACGGAGGAGGCGAGCGUUAUCCGGAUUUAUUGGGUUUAAAGGGUGCGCAGGCGGGCUGUUAAGUCAGCGGUAAAAGCCCGGGGCUCACCCCCGGCCCGCCGUUGAAACUGGCAGUCUCGAGUUGGAGAGAAGUAUGCGGAAUGCGCGGUGUAGCGGUGAAAUGCAUAGAUAUCGCGCAGAACUCCGAUUGCGAAGGCAGCAUGCCGGCUCCACACUGACGCUGAGGCACGAAAGCGUGGGUAUCGAACAGGAUUAGAUACCCCAGUAGUC
rnacentral:rRNA from 1 species